GAUGAACGCUAGCGGCAGGCUUAACACAUGCAAGUCGAGGGGCAGCAUAGGUACUUGUACCUGAUGGCGACCGGCGGACGGGUGAGUAACGCGUAUGGAACCUACCUUUUACAGGGGGAU
rnacentral:rRNA from 1 species